GACGAACGCUGGCGGCGUGCCUAAUACAUGCAAGUCGAACGAACGGAGGAAGAGCUUGCUCUUCCAAAGUUAGUGGCGGACGGGUGAGUAACACGUGGGCAACCUGCCUGUAAGUUGGGGAUAACUCCGGGAAACCGGGGCUAAUACCGAAUGAUARARUGUGGCGCAUGCCACGCUUUUGAAAGAUGGUUUCGGCUAUCGCUUACAGAUGGGCCCGCGGUGCAUUAGCUAGUUGGUAGGGUAAUGGCCUACCAAGGCAACGAUGCAUAGCCGACCUGAGAGGGUGAUCGGCCACACUGGGACUGAGACACGGCCCAGACUCCUACGGGAGGCAGCAGUAGGGAAUCUUCCGCAAUGGACGAAAGUCUGACGGAGCAACGCCGCGUGUAUGAAGAAGGUUUUCGGAUCGUAAAGUACUGUUGUUAGAGAAGAACAAGGAUAAGAGUAACUGCUUGUCCCUUGACGGUAUCUAACC
rnacentral:rRNA from 1 species